rnacentral:rRNA from 1 species
UACGGGAGGCAGCAGUGGGGAAUAUUGCACAAUGGGCGCAAGCCUGAUGCAGCCAUGCCGCGUGUAUGAAGAAGGCCUUCGGGUUGUAAAGUACUUUCAGUCGUGAGGAAGGUGUUAAGGUUAAUAACCUUAGCAAUUGACGCUAGCGACAGAAGAAGCACCGGCUAACUCCGUGCCAGCAGCCGCGGUAAUACGGAGGGUGCGAGCGUUAAUCGGAAUUACUGGGCGUAAAGGGCACGCAGGCGGUUAAUUAAGUUGGAUGUGAAAUCCCCGGGCUUAACCUGGGAAUGGCAUUCAAGACUGGUUAGCUAGAGUCUUGUAGAGGGGGUAGAAUUCCAUGUGUAGCGGUGAAAUGCGUAGAGAUGUGGAGGAAUACCGGUGGCGAAGGCGGCCCCUGGGACAAAGACUGACGCUCAUGUGCGAAAGCGUGGGGAGCAAACAGGAUUAGAUACC